rfam:Salmo salar isolate Sally breed double haploid chromosome ssa01, whole genome shotgun sequence.
UUUACGCAUGACUGUACGUUCCUUUGGAUAAAAGUGUCUGCUAAAUGGAAUAUA